AAAAAACAGGAACCAUCGUGUUCCCAACACCGUGUGCACUAUUGUCUGUCUCUGGUGGAAUCAGAGGGCUUUUGCUGGAACUCGUUCCGGCACUUUCCCUCCUCCACCAAAGGUGUGUGCCCCCGUAAGGGGGUGCUACCGAAACAAACCUUGUGAUUGUUUAUUUUUGUCUGAUGCGUUUUCGCCACCUUCACGGGUGAACGAAUUCAAAAA
rnacentral:misc_RNA from 1 species